CAUAUUUGUUAUUUUAUUAUAUAUUAUUGUAUACAACUUUGAUAAUGAGGAUAUUAUAAAUCAUACUUUAAGCAAAAAUCUAUGCAUGAUAUAUGUAAGCAGUAACAUUUUGAAGAAAAAAGCCAUGAAAGCAUUUACCUAAAAUUUAGUAACAUCGAAAAACACUAGUUUGUGCAUAGUAAUGUUGAAAGCUUCAUAAUACACUAGAAUACUGGUAAGUCUUCAGGUAUUGUAAGAAAAACCUGGUACAGGAAAAGACUAAAUUAGACACAUCCAUAUCCUUAGAUGUGCACAUCAUCUAGAAAUAAAUCCCACAAUGUAGCAGUGCACUAAGUAUCCUUUGUUUGGCACUUAACAAUACAGACAAACGUGUAUUUGGUUUAACGUGAUUUUAUUAUUCUUAGAUACAUUUUAGUUAUUUUAUAUAGAUAAAAAUAUACAAUAUUGCUUUUCAAACUUUUAAUUUUAUAACUGUAUAACUGAUUGUCAUCAUAUUCAUGAUUAAAAAGCCUAUUUUCCACUAAACAAUUUAUCCAGUAACAUGUGGAAGAGAGUAACAAAAAUGGUUUAUGUAAGACUUAUAAUAAAAGGUUUAAAUGUAAAAAUAGAGUAUUAAUCUAGACCUCUGGUCUAAAUCCUUAGAUACCUCAUGCUGGAAACAAAUUAUGAAAUGUUUCAGACAAAUUUUUUCCAACACUUAAAUUGAUUCUACAGGUUUAAAGUUUUGACUGAAAAUACACAGAACUCAGAGAUAUUUUGUCCGAAGCCAUUUUUAUAUACAUUAACUUACUAAAAAAAGUAAAAGAAAUAAAAAUUGUAUUUUUUUUUUUUUUGGAGACGGAGUCUCGGUCUAUUGCCAGGCUGGAGUGCAGUGGGGCGAUCUUGGCUCUGCAACCUCCGAUUCCCAGGUUCAGGCUAUUCUCCUGCCUCAGCCUCCUGAGUAGCUAGGACUACAGGCUCACGCCACCAUGCCCAGCUAAUUUCUGUAUUUUUAGUAGAGACAGGGUUUCACCAUGUUGGUCAGGAUGGUCUCCAUCUCUUGACCUCGUGAUCCACCCUCCUCGCCCUCCCCAAGUUUUGGGAUUCCAUCAGAUUUUCAAAUAAUACAUGCAAAAUGUGUCUAAG
rnacentral:lncRNA from 1 species